rfam:Aedes albopictus isolate Foshan contig151531, whole genome shotgun sequence.
AUCCAGAUAGCCUAGUGGUUAAGGCUAGGGAUCGCUAAUCCGGAGGCGGCGGGUUCGAUUCCUGUUCCGGUCG